rnacentral:rRNA from 1 species
UGGGGAAUAUUGCACAAUGGGGGAAACCCUGAUGCAGCGACGCCGCGUGGGGGAUGACGGCCUUCGGGUUGUAAACUUCUUUCAGUAGGGAAGAAGCCUUCGGGUGACGGUACCUGCAGAAGAAGUACCGGCUAACUACGUGCCAGCAGCCGCGGUAAUACGUAGGGUACAAGCGUUGUCCGGAAUUAUUGGGCGUAAAGAGCUCGUAGGUGGUCUGUCACGUCUGCUGUGGAAACGCAAGGCUCAACCUUGCGCGUGCAGUGGGUACGGGCGGACUAGAGUGCAGUAGGGGAGUCUGGAAUUCCUGGUGUAGCGGUGAAAUGCGCAGAUAUCAGGAGGAACACCGGUGGCGAAGGCGGGACUCUGGGCUGUAACUGACGCUGAGGAGCGAAAGCAUGGGGAGCGAACA